rnacentral:rRNA from 1 species
UACGUAGGGGGCAAGCGUUGUCCGGAAUUAUUGGGCGUAAAGAGCGUGUAGGCGGUCCGGUAAGUCGGCUGUGAAAGUCCAGGGCUCAACCCUGGGAUGCCGGACGAUACUGCCGGACUAGAGUUCGGAAGAGGCGAGUGGAAUUCCCGGUGUAGCGGUGAAAUGCGCAGAUAUCGGGAGGAACACCAAUGGCGAAGGCAGCUCGCUGGGACGGUACUGACGCUGAGACGCGAAAGCGUGGGGAGCAAACAGG